rfam:Lysinibacillus sp. BF-4 contig00044, whole genome shotgun sequence.
AGUAAUAACUAGGGGGGUCCGAUGAGUCGGGCUGAGAGAGAAACGCGAUGAAGUUUCGUUACCCUUUGGACCUGAUCUGGCUCAUACCAGCGUAGGGAAGUUAGUAAGCGCGCUC